AUUGAACGCUAGCGGGAUGCCUAACACAUGCAAGUCGAACGGAGUGGCGAACGGGGGAGUAAUGUAACGGAACGUGCCCAGUAGCGGGGGAUAACUACGAGAAAGCGUAGCUAAUACCGAAUACUCUUGGAGCGGCCGAUAUCGGAUUAGCUAGAUGGUGGGGUAAGGGCUAACCAAGGCGAAGAUCCGGAGCUGGUUUGAGUGGACGACCAGCCACACUGGGACUGAGACACGGCCCAGACUCCUACGGGAGGCAGCAGUGGGGAAUUUUGGACAAUGGGGGAAACCCUGAUCCAGCCAUCCCGCGUGUGUGAUGAAGGCCUUCGGGUUGUAAAGCACUUUUGGCAGGAAAGCGGUACCUGCAGAAUAAGCACCGGCUAACUCCGUGCCAGCCGCCGCGGUAAUAC
rnacentral:rRNA from 1 species